UACGUAGGGUGCGAGCGUUAAUCGGAAUUACUGGGCGUAAAGCGUGCGCAGGCGGUUUUGUAAGCCAGAUGUGAAAUCCCCGGGCUCAACCUGGGAAUGGCAUUUGGGACUGCAAGGCUUGAGUGUGGCAGAGGAGACUGGAAUUCCUGGUGUAGCAGUGAAAUGCGUAGAUAUCAGGAGGAAUACCGAUGGCGAAGGCAGGUCUCUGGGCUGACACUGACGCUCAUGCACGAAAGCGUGGGGAGCAAACAGG
rnacentral:rRNA from 1 species